AGUGAGCGCUGGCGGUAGGCCUAACACAUGCAAGUCGAACGGCAGCACAGUAAGAGCUUGCUCUUACGGGUGGCGAGUGGCGGACGGGUGAGGAAUACAUCGGAAUCUACUUUUUCGUGGGGGAUAACGUAGGGAAACUUACGCUAAUACCGCAUACGACCUACGGGUGAAAGCAGGGGAUCUUCGGACCUUGCGCGAUUGAAUGAGCCGAUGUCGGAUUAGCUAGUUGGCGGGGUAAAGGCCCACCAAGGCGACGAUCCGUAGCUGGUCUGAGAGGAUGAUCAGCCACACUGGAACUGAGACACGGUCCAGACUCCUACGGGAGGCAGCAGUGGGGAAUAUUGAACAAUGGGCGCAAGCCUGAUCCAGCCAUACCGCGUGGGUGAAGAAGGCCUUCGGGUUGUAAAGCCCUUUUGUUGGGAAAGAAAAGCAGCAGGUUAAUACCCCGCUGUUCUGACGGUACCCAAAGAAUAAGCACCGGCUAACUUCGUG
rnacentral:rRNA from 1 species